rnacentral:rRNA from 1 species
CCUACGGGAGGCAGCAGUGAGGAAUAUUGGUCAAUGGGCGAGAGCCUGAACCAGCCAAGUCGCGUGAGGGAGUACUGCCCUAUGGGUUGUAAACCUCUUUUGUCGGGGAGCAAAAGCCGGACGUGUCCGGCUGUGAGAGUACCCGAAGAAAAAGCAUCGGCUAACUCCGUGCCAGCAGCCGCGGUAAUACGGAGGAUGCGAGCGUUAUCCGGAUUUAUUGGGUUUAAAGGGUGCGCAGGCGGAUUUUUAAGUCAGCGGUAAAAUCGUGGGGCUCAACCCCAUCCAGCCGUUGAAACUGGGGAUCUAGAGUGUGCGAGAGGUAUGCGGAAUGCGUGGUGUAGCGGUGAAAUGCAUAGAUAUCACGCAGAACCCCGAUUGCGAAGGCAGCAUACCGGUGUACAACUGACGCUCAGGCACGAAAGCGUGGGUAUCGAACAGGAUUAGAUACCCGUGUAGUC